GACGAACGCUGGCGGCGUGCUUAAUACAUGCAAGUCGAACGGAAAGGCCCUGCUUUUGUUGGGUGCUCGAGUGGCGAACAGGUGAGUAACACGUGAGUAACCUGCCCUUGACUUUGGGAUAACUUCUGGAAACUCGGGCUAAUACCGGAUAUGAGCUCCUGCUGCAUGGGGGUGGUUGGAAAGUUUCGGCUGUUGUGGCUGGUCUCGAUGCUUAUCAGCUUCUUUGUGGAGUAGUGGCUUACCAAGGGUUUGACGGAUAGCCGGCCUGAGAGGGUGACCGGCGACAAUGGGCCUGCGAGACGGACCAGACGCGUACGGGAGGCAGUAGUGGGAAAUAUUGCGGAACGGGCGGAAGCGUGAGGCAGCAACGUCGCGUGCGUGAUGCCGGCCUUCGAGGUGUAAACAGAUUUGGACGGUGAUGAAGGGUGAGUGACGGUAAUGGGUAAAGAAGCACCGGCUAACUACGUG
rnacentral:rRNA from 1 species